GAUUACGAAAAAUUGGAUCGGAUUUUGCAGUUCUUUUUUCUGCAGUACCUCGACGUGACAUGAGCGUGAAAGAGGUUCAAGAAUCCGUUUUCUUUUUAUAAGGGCUAAAAUCACUUAUUUUUUUGGCUUUUUGACCCCAUAUUGUAGGGUGGUCUGCUGGGCCGACACUGACACUGAGAGACGAAAGCUAGGGGAGCAAAUGGGAUUAGAGACCCCAGUAGUCCUAGCCGUAAACGAUGGAUACUAGGUGCUGUGCGACUCGACCCGUGCAGUGCUGUAGCUAACGCGUUA
rnacentral:ncRNA from 1 species